AGGAUGAACGCUAGCUACAGGCUUAACACAUGCAAGUCGAGGGGCAGCAUUUCAGUUUGCUUGCAAACUGGAGAUGGCGACCGGCGCACGGGUGAGUAACACGUAUCCAACCUGCCGAUAACUCGGGGAUAGCCUUUCGAAAGAAAGAUUAAUACCCGAUGGUAUAAUCAGACCGCAUGGUCUUGUUAUUAAAGAAUUUCGGUUAUCGAUGGGGAUGCGUUCCAUUAGGCAGUUGGUGAGGUAACGGCUCACCAAACCUUCGAUGGAUAGGGGUUCUGAGAGGAAGGUCCCCCACAUUGGAACUGAGACACGGUCCAAACUCCUACGGGAGGCAGCAGUGAGGAAUAUUGGUCAAUGGGCGCAGGCCUGAACCAGCCAAGUAGCGUGAAGGAUGACUGCCCUAUGGGUUGUAAACUUCUUUUAUAUGGGAAUAAAGUUUUCCACGUGUGGAAUUUUGUAUGUACCAUAUGAAUAAGGAUCGGCUAACUCCGUGCCAGCAGCCGCGGUAAUACGGAGGAUCCGAGCGUUAUCCGGAUUUAUUGGGUUUAAAGGGAGCGUAGGUGGACAGUUAAGUCAGUUGUGAAAGUUUGCGGCUCAACCGUAAAAUUGCAGUUGAUACUGGCUGUCUUGAGUACAGUAGAGGUGGGCGGAAUUCGUGGUGUAGCGGUGAAAUGCUUAGAUAUCACGAAGAACUCCGAUUGCGAAGGCAGCUCACUGGACUGCAACUGACACUGAUGCUCGAAAGUGUGGGUAUCAAACAGGAUUAGAUACCCUGGUAGUCCACACAGUAAACGAUGAAUACUCGCUGUUUGCGAUAUACAGUAAGCGGCCAAGCGAAAGCAUUAAGUAUUCCACCUGGGGAGUACGCCGGCAACGGUGAAACUCAAAGGAAUUGACGGGGGCCCGCACAAGCGGAGGAACAUGUGGUUUAAUUCGAUGAUACGCGAGGAACCUUACCCGGGCUUAAAUUGCAUUUGAAUAUAUUGGAAACAGUAUAGCCGUAAGGCAAAUGUGAAGGUGCUGCAUGGUCGUCGUCAGCUCGUGCCGUGAGGUGUCGGCUUAAGUGCCAUAACGAGCGCAACCCUUAUCUUUAGUUACUAACAGGUCAUGCUGAGGACUCUAGAGAGACUGCCGUCGUAAGAUGUGAGGAAGGUGGGGAUGACGUCAAAUCAGCACGGCCCUUACGUCCGGGGCUACACACGUGUUACAAUGGGGGGUACAGAAGGCAGCUACCUGGUGACAGGAUGCUAAUCCCAAAAGCCUCUCUCAGUUCGGAUCGAAGUCUGCAACCCGACUUCGUGAAGCUGGAUUCGCUAGUAAUCGCGCAUCAGCCAUGGCGCGGUGAAUACGUUCCCGGGCCUUGUACACACCGCCCGUCAAGCCAUGAAAGCCGGGGGUACCUGAAGUACGUAACCGCAAGGAGCGUCCUAGGGUAAAACUGGUAAUUGGGGC
rnacentral:rRNA from 1 species